rnacentral:rRNA from 1 species
UACGUAGGGUGCGAGCGUUGCCCGGAUUUAUUGGGCGUAAAGGGCGCGUAGGCGGCCUUCUAAGUCGAACGUGAAAUCCCCGGGCUCAACCCGGGAACUGCGUCCGAUACUGGAAGGCUUGAGUUCGGGAGAGGGAUGCGGAAUUCCAGGUGUAGCGGUGAAAUGCGUAGAUAUCAGGAAGAACACCCGUGGCGAAGGCGGCUCUCUGGGACGGUACUGACGCUGAGACGCGAAAGCGUGGGGAGCGAACAGG